GUCAGUGUGGCCGAGCGGUUAAGGCGAUAGACUAGAAUGUUCCACCAAACUUCUACAGUCAAUCUAUUGGGUUCGCCCGCACAGGUUCGAAUCCUGUCGCUGACG